rnacentral:rRNA from 1 species
CAUUAAAGAGUUCUAUAACUCCCAAACCCAUGUGAACAUACCUAACGUUGCCUCGGCAGGUCGCACCUACCUUGUAGCACCCUACCCUGUAGGGCCUACCCGGGAGGUGCGGGUAAGCCUGCCGGCGGCCCACCAAACUCUGUUUGAUAUUGAAUUCUGAACCUAUAACUAAAUAAGUUAAAACUUUCAACAACGGAUCUCUUGGUUCUGGCAUCGAUGAAGAACGCAGCGAAAUGCGAUAAGUAAUGUGAAUUGCAGAAUUCAGUGAAUCAUCGAAUCUUUGAACGCAUAUUGCGCCCAUUAGUAUUCUAGUGGGCAGGACCGUUCGAGCGUCAUUUCAACCCUUAAGCCUUCGUUGCUUAGUGUUGGGAGCCUACGGCAACGUAGCUCCUCAAAGUUAGUGGCGGAGUUGGUUCACACUCUAGACGUAGUAAUUUUUUAUCUCGCCUAUUAGUUGGACUAAUCCCCUGCCGUAAAACCCCCAAUUUAUCAAGGUUGACCUCGAAUCGGUUCAGACAAACUCGCUAAAUUGAAGCAUCUUAGUCAGCGAAGGAAAAGAAACCAACAGGGAUUGCCCUAGUAACGGCGAGUGAAGCGGCAACAGCUCAAAUUUGAAAUCUGGCCCUCGGGUCCGAGUUGUAAUUUGUAGAGGAUGCUUUUGGCGCGGUGCCUUCCGAGUUCCCUGGAACGGGACGCCUUAGAGGGUGAGAGCCCCGUACGGUUGGACACCAAGCCUCUGUAAAGCUCCUUCGACGAGUCGAGUAGCUUGGGAAUGCUGCUCUAAAUGGGAGGUAAAUUUCUUCUAAAGCUAAAUAUUGGCCAGAGACCGAUAGCGCACAAGUAGAGUGAUCGAAAGAUGAAAAGC